AGCUGAGAAGGGCUUGAGUAAGCAAUAAAUAUACUGCCUGGCGCCUUGAUUCAUAUGCUAAGGAGCAUCAAAUUCGGCUUUAAUUGGUGCAGAGAGGGAAGCUUGCAGCUGCCUCUGGCCCACACUGUGCACGGACACUCUGUGAUGAGGGGUACACGUUCACUGCUGGAGGCAGAGGCCUCUUCAGGUUCCCAGUGGAAGAUGGGCUGUCAUGGAAGCGCACCCCCAUCUCCGCUCACCCUGGCUGUGCUCCUUGAAGGUUUAUUUAAGGUUCUCUGCUGUCCACUGAGUUUGUGAAGCCCCCUGACUGUGAAGCCUAAGGAGAGGACCUGCCUGCCUGGUUGCUCAGCGUUUGCAGGACAUGAGCCACAGUCCAGUCUCCUGACCUCACCCCACCUCGAGUCAUUUAUUGUAAGAAGAAAAGGAUGGUCCAUUUUCAAAGGAGCCAUUCGCUAGUGACUUCAGGCCUGGCUACAGAGUUUUUCUAUAUAGCCUUGGCUUUCCUGGAACAUGCUCUGUAGCAUUUUCAAGGCAGGCCUCGAACCCACAGAGAUCUGCCCACCUCUGAGUCUUGACUUUCAAUAACUGGAUGAGUGGAGACAAAGGCUCCUCCAUUCUUUAGCUUCAAGACAUAUCACAGACUGAGAUGCCUCUUUGCUCAGCCUUUUGGUGAACACAUCAAACACAAUGCCAGGUCACCGGGUACAUCCAAUGCUCAGACACCGAGGUCAACAAUGAACCUGCUACUUUCGGUCCACGCAGUGUGCUGACACCCAGUUUCACUUGUCUGCUGGGAAGACCCCGCUCUGACCAUCCGUGAAUGGUUCACCAGCUUCCACGCCUGCUUUGGUAAUGUGCUCAGUUUAAGGAUUUUCCAUUCAUUUCUAGCUCUGCCCAGCAGCCCAGUGUAGACACAUACUUGUCACGUCUUUCAGUGAUGAAGCCCUGAUCUUCAGAGACAGCUAUACUGGCUCCAGCUUCUCUUGGGACCUUCAGGACUUGGCCAGAUGUGUUCCAUGAAUCAUUCUCUGAAACUAGAAUUCCCACCCCUAGUCUUCUCCAAGCCACCUUCCCCUCCCUUUUGAGCCGUAACUCCCUAUAGAGAUGGCCGGAGUCCCUUAAGAUCAAUUACUCUGGCAACAGAAAAACAGAUUUUAAUGAGAUCACCCAGCUCUGGGAUGUGUCGGGCGGGCAUGCGGUGGGAAGAGCGAGCUGAGGUUGCCUUGAUCACUUAUGCCGCCUCAGCAGCCACUCCUUACAGAACCCCAGGUUUGCUUGGUCUGGUAGCUGUGUAGGUAGGUGGGGAAAUACAGUUCUGCCCUGGGGACACUGAUGUGCAAUCCCAGUCACUGUAGAUAGAGAGGCGACAGUGUAAGGACCAAGGUCAGUCACAGCCCAGCAUCCUUUCUCUGCUCUCGAGGUCCAUCCAUCUCCGAUGUCAAGUGGCCCUCUUGCUACAAGGCUCCUAUCUGCCCUUAGAUAACAAGAAAGAAGAUAUUAAAGUAGGAAUUUCAUGUGUCAGUCGAUGCCGCAUUCUCAAGCAAAGAACACAGGAGCAUGAAGGAUGUGGCCACCAGGAACCGGGAAGGAGCCACCUCCUCCUUGUGGCCCAGGGGUUGGGGUGAUCAAACUUAACUGGAGGGAGAUGGGUGUUGCGUGACUUUUCCUGGGGACAUCUGACCAAGUGUUCACUCCAGAGAGAAGAUGAUGGUGACAAAUCAACCAAGUGACCUCACCUACUUCUAGUGACCCAGUGUUCUUAUUGGGGUCACCACAGAAAUGCCAGGUCACCAUGAGUUAGGACUCCUGAAAGCUGCAUCCCUGGGCGGCGCACUUGUGAGCAGUUGCAGGUGGGGUCUCCUCUGCCUAUCAGUGUCGAUCCUUACAUAACCUUGAGAGGGGUUAUGAGAAUUCUCGUAGUAUUCAGUAGCUCUGGGGCUUUUAGCUUUCAUGGACUCCCCAGGUGUCUGAAGUCUUCCUUUUCCUUCUAGAAGGGAUGUUUCAGCUGGGAGGAAAUAACUAUACAACAUGAUGUGAUUAAGAGAGAAGCCUGAGGGAGCAAUGCGAGUCCCCUGGAGGCAGUGGCUGGUAGGGUCCCCUGUGGGCUCCUGUUCUGCCCCCAGCUUGUGGCACUGUUUUGAAGGCUGUGGAGUUUUUAGAAGAUCGGGGUUGGACUGGUAGAGCUGGGUCAUUAAAGCCUUCCAUGCUUGUGC
rnacentral:lncRNA from 1 species